rnacentral:rRNA from 1 species
UACGUAGGGGGCGAGCGUUGUCCGGAGUUACUGGGCGUAAAGGGCGUGCAGGCGGUCUGGUAAGUUUGGAGUGACAGUGCUCGGCUUAACUGAGCAAGGCCUUCGAAAACUGUCAGACUUGAGCACUCAAGAGGGACAUAGAAUUCCGGGUGGAGUGGUGAAAUGCGUAGAUAUCCGGAGGAAUACCAAAGGCGAAGGCAGUGUCCUGGGGAGUGUCUGACGCUCAGGCGCGAAAGCUAGGGGAGCGAACAGG